GAACUGAGUGCAGAUGACCAACAUGGCUACCACGUACAUCCCUGAAACAUGCAGGAUGCCGAAUUUUAGCCGAUCUUGGAUUAUAAACUUCAUUA